AACGCUAGCUACAGGCUUAACACAUGCAAGUCGAGGGGUAGCACGGAGGAAGCUUGCUUCCUUGGGUGACGACCGGCGCACGGGUGAGUAACGCGUAUCCGACCUACCCAUAACACGGGCACAGCCGAUCGAAAGAUCGAUUGAUUCCCGAUAUGUUAUAUAAGUAGAUUAUAUAAUGAAAGAUUCAUCGGUUAUGGAUGGGGAUGCGUAAGAUUAGGUAGUAGGCGGGGUAACGGCCCACCUAGCCGACGAUCUUUAGGGGUUCUGAGAGGAAGGUCCCCCACACUGGUACUGAGACACGGACCAGACUCCUACGGGAGGCAGCAGUGAGGAAUAUUGGUCAAUGGGCGGAAGCCUGAACCAGCCAAGUAGCGUGAAGGAUUACAGCCCUACGGGUUUUAAACUUCUUUUAUAUAAGAGUAAUGUGCACUACGUGUAGUGUAUUGCAAGUAUUAUAUGAAUAAGCAUCGGCUAACUCCGUGCCAGCAGCCGCGGUAAUACGGAGGAUGCGAGCGUUAUCCGGAUUUAUUGGGUUUAAAGGGAGCGUAGGCGGGAUAUUAAGUCAGUCGUCAAAGCCUGUGGGUCAACCACAGCCCGCGAUUGAUACUGGUAUCCUUGAGUGCAGAUGAAGUGGAUGGAAUUCGUGGUGUAGCGGUGAAAUGCUUAGAUAUCACGAAGAACUCCGAUUG
rnacentral:rRNA from 1 species